rnacentral:sRNA from 1 species
CUGGCAGCCCUGGAGACUGAAAUCCUCUUUUUGAUGCACAGAGCUGGUACAGCAUGGGCAGCAGCAGUAGGGCAAACGCCUACCACAUAGGCUCUGCCAAUACAUCCUCAGCCUGAUCUGAGAGACCAUACUCAGAGGUGAGCAGCUGGAUCAGUCACUUUAGUGUCUGGACAAACUAAAGGCACU